CGUCUGUCUUUUUGUCUGUCUUUCCAUCCGUCUGUCUGUCUUUCCGUCCGCCUUUCCGUCUGUCUGUCUUUCCGUCUGCCUUUCCGUCUGUCUGUCUUUCCGUCCGCCUUUCCGUCUGUCUGUCUGUCUAAACCAGUAUCCAAACCAGUCAGAGACAGCGAUGUGAAGGCAUCAACAGAAAAUAAAAAUCAGUUUUGUAACAAAGUAUUUUGUAGAAGGCAGUCUGUUGGCUACACAACUCGGAGGCAAAUUGUAGGCACUAUCACCAGGAGCAAAGUGGCCUGCAAGACAUUACCAGAGCUAGCCGGUGUGGUCGCAGCACAGAGUGACCAGAGGAGGAAGAGGCUCUUGGAGUCAAACCCAGUGUACUGACUAUGGACAAAGUGGGUUUCUAAAGGGAUGAUGUCAGAUGAAGAAGACAAUGCUAUUGAUGGAGUGUCGGGUGGAUUGUGAGACCUUCAUCGUUUUGCAGGCAGGCGCUCAGUCAUCUGUGUGCUAAG